GUGAGCGUAGCCGAGGGGUUUAAGGCGCCAGGUUGUGGCCCUGGAGGUCGAGGGUUCGAAUCCCUCCGCUCACC
rnacentral:tRNA from 1 species